AGAAAAGAGGUACAGCUGUACGGAACUCUAAACAACCAAAAAUGAAGAAGGCAAAAUUGUCUCAUUCAAGAAAAAAAAAGUCAAAAAAAAAGACACAUGAAGAUCAGGUUUCUUCAGAAGAUUCAGAUACUUCUGAUAAAGAUUCAGAUAACAGUGAUGCACAAGAUGGUCCUUCAGAUGCUGAUUUUUGGAAAGGUCCUCUGCAAGAUGCAGAUGAAAAAUCACGAGAGGAAGAGUUCGAUGAAUAUUUUCAGGAUUUGUUUCUCUGAAACUUGAAAUUGAUUAAAAAUUAUUUCCAACAAAUGGCAAGUGUUUAAGAGGAGUGUUAAGAGAUUGAUCUAGACUAUUCUAUGCGAAGCAGAAAUCCGCUGGGCUCCUUGAAGUUCUUUCUAGAUGUCUUUUCUGUAGCAGAAACAGUGUCUUUGAGACAAAGAAUUACAAAAUUAUACAUGUUUUAGAUUUUCCAUCCUCUCCACUUCCACCUCCAGCUGCAUUUUCAGCUAAAAAACAGAAAAGAAAAGUAAAGUGAGUACUUUCUUUUACUUUCAAUUGCUUUAACUUCUUGUUUUAAAAGCACUGCUUUUGUGAUAAGGACAUUAUGUAUGUUUGACUUUCUGAAAAUGGAACAUGUUUUCACUACUUGUUUGGGAAAUUGGAGCAUGCAACAACUAUACAUGUUAUAUAUACCUAUACAUAUAUGAUGUAGCAAUUGAUAUCAACACUUCUCAAUGGACAAACACACUGAACCACUCUUACUGGAAAGUUUCAGUACUUUAUGUAAGUCUGUCCCACACAUUCAAAACUGAGGUAUGCAAGCCAUGCUAAAGAAAAAAAAAAAGUCUUGAAUUAAUAUCAUCUUGGAAACUAUUUUUGAAGAAGAUGAUACAAAAGCUUUAAUUUGACCUAGUUGUAUAAACUCUUAUCCAACCCUGCAUGAAUCCCUUGGUAACAACCAAUUAAAACAGAGAGACUGUUUUUAAUACUUUAUAGCAACUGAUUCUGUUAAUGUCUCUCUCAAAUGAUUCCACAGAUGUUUAUUGGUCAUAGUUAAGGUUGUUUCAAUGUAAUAAAUUGCGUUUCCAGAUUCAUUUAAGGUAAGUUACCAAUAUUAGAAUUAAAACUUACU
rnacentral:lncRNA from 1 species